rnacentral:rRNA from 1 species
GACGAACGCUGGCGGCGUGCUUAACACAUGCAAGUCGAACGGUGAAGGGACUGGUUUUGCUGGUCCUGGAUGAGUGGCGAACGGGUGAGUAACACGUGAGUAACCUGCCCCCUUCUUCUGGAUAACCGCAUGAAAGUGUGGCUAAUACGGGAUAUUCUGGGUCUGUCGCAUGGUGGGCCUGGGAAAGAUUGCGCCUUUUUUGGUGUUUUUGGUGGGGGAUGGGCUCGCGGCCUAUCAGCUUGUUGGUGGGGUGAUGGCCUACCAAGGCGGUGACGGGUAGCCGGCCUGAGAGGGUGGACGGUCACACUGGGACUGAGACACGGCCCAGACUCCUACGGGAGGCAGCAGUGGGGAAUAUUGCACAAUGGGCGCAAGCCUGAUGCAGCGACGCCGCGUGAGGGAUGGAGGCCUUCGGGUUGUGAACCUCUUUCGCCAGUGAAGCAGGCCUGCCUCUUUUUGUGGGUGGGUUAACGGUAGCUGGAUAAGAAGCGCCGGCUAACUACGUG